UCUCUCUGAAUCUGCGAACGGCUCCGCAAACCAGUUGUAAGAUCUAGCAGGUCCCGGCCGACACCAGCCCUCACGGGCGAGGACGGCCAACCCCCAUAUGGAUAACCGUGGUAAUUCUGAGGCUAAUACAUGACCACUUCCUUCUGCUGCCCGGGCCUUCAUUGGCCUGGGCGGUGGGGGGCUGUGCGACACUAGCUUGGUUAAUCCGGAAAGAACGCACGCGCCAGACCGCUGCAGACGGGGGUGUUGUGGCCUCACGGCUGCUUUGCCCCCCGGUGGCGCCUGGACAUCGCUUCUGACCUAUCAAUUAGACGGCAGCUUAUGGGACAUGCUAUGGUGGCAACGGGUACAGAGGAUAAGGGUUCGAUCCUGGAGAGUGGGCCUGAGAGAUU
rnacentral:rRNA from 1 species